CUUUGAGGGACUGUCUCUGCAAAAGCAGAGGAAGGAAGGACCGUGCAGCUGUGUAGAGUUGGAAUUGAUCCCUAAGGCUGGACAUGGGGCGGGAAAGCCCCAAGGCACUAAGACAAAGGGGGAAGGCAUGAAUGCCACGGACAUAUGUGGAGAUCAGAGGACAGCGUUCACGAGUCCUUCAAAAACAGGUACUUAUCAUCAGUAAAGGGGAGGGUCUCUUCAGUCAAAGAGGACAGUUGCCUAGGGCCAGACUCCAUGGGAGAGUGUCUGUCUGUCCAGCAUGCAUGACGCCU
rnacentral:lncRNA from 1 species